UAUCCUAACUGCAGUGUCUUCACAACUAUUAAACCUUCAACAUUGGUACGAAACCUACAUCUCUGAACACAGUAAUGGUUUUUAAUAGGUCUAUUACUGAACCAUCACAAACUGUACUUGUGUUUUAAUUGCACUGGAUUAAUAUUUGUAUUCCUGUGUGUUCAGCAACUGGACUCUGCCUCAGAGAUAGAAUAAGAAGGCUCCUUUUCACCCUCCCUUUUAAACUAUCUGUGGGGUGGGAUGAUGUCUUUUCGGUACCAAGCUGCUUGUCUGGUCUCUGCUUGAAGAGUUGCCCUGAGAACUACAAGAAGCAGUGAGACAAAGCUGGAGUUGUAAAUUGUAAGAGAUGAUCGAACACAAGAGAGUCCCCUCCCUUGCUUUAGCUUCCCUAAUUGCUUUUUUGAGCUAGGAACACCUAAGGGCUAAUGGCCUCCUUGUUUUGGCUACUGUACUUUGUAAUAGCUUUGGUUCCUGAGAAUUGAUUGUUAGCUCUUCAUAGAAGAAUAACCUCAAAUUCAGCACUUCUGUAUUUAAAUUCAGAUUUUUUUUUGAGCUUGCUCAAAACACUAACCCUGCCUCUUAAUCCGUGCUUUUCCCUCCCCUCCCCUUUUGGGUUGAGGAUGGGAAGAGUAUACUGCAGGUAAAGCAUCAACCUGAAGCCUUGGUGGUUGAUAAUACAUACACUUCUCUGACACUCCAGUUAGCACACUGUGUGUGAAAGGAGUUACCAGACCACCCUUCAUAUUCCCGAGAGCUAGUGUCCUUUUCUUUUUAAUCACUGCUGGAGAAGUGAACAAGAGUGGCUUAGUUUGGAUCACUCAGUAAAACCACAAAUCCAAGCUUUCCUCCAGCUCCUUCUCCCCGGCCUCCAAAUACAGUCCUUUCCCUUGCGUGUGUAUGUGGUGAUAAAGUCCAUACCUCCCAAGUCCUGAUCUAGCUUAUUCAGGCAGUUGUACCUCCUUCCUCUUCCCUCAUCACCCCCACUUGUAUACCUCUAACUCCUAGGCAGCAAACAGCAUUGACCUCUCUUGCUUUGUUGUAAUGCUCUUCAACUUCGUAUUAGAACAACCACUAACAAAUAGUAAAAUACUAAACUUACCAGUGCAACUUGAUGGCUAAACUGAAAUUCUUUCAAUAUGGGAUACCACCUUGAAUUACAAAGUGGUAAAAGAAUCGAGUUUUUUAACUAUAGCUUUUGAAAGCUGCAAAACAUCUGAUGGCAUGAGUGGACCACAACCUUAACAACAAGAAGAAGCCUUCCCUUGAAAUCUUGAUACUUCAGACCAUUUUAAUACUACUUAAGCUAAUUUUUAAAAU
rnacentral:lncRNA from 1 species